rnacentral:tRNA from 1 species
GCACCGGUAGCUCAUCUGGUUAGAGCGUCAAGCUACGAACUUGAAGGUAGGGAGUUCAAAUCUCCCCUGGUGCU